UGAACGUUAGGCGAGACACCGU
rnacentral:miRNA from 1 species